rnacentral:rRNA from 1 species
GAUGAACGCUGGCGGCGUGCUUAACACAUGCAAGUCGAACGGUGAAGCAGGAGCUUGCUCUUGUGGAUCAGUGGCAAACGGGUGAGUAACACGUGAGCAACCUGCCCCUGACUCUGGGAUAAGCGCUGGAAACGGCGUCUAAUACUGGAUAUGUGAUGUGACCGCAUGGUCUGCAUCUGGAAAGAAUUUCGGUUGGGGAUGGGCUCGCGGCCUAUCAGCUUGUUGGUGAGGUAAUGGCUCACCAAGGCGUCGACGGGUAGCCGGCCUGAUAGGGUGACCGGACACACUGGGACUGGGACACGGCCCAGAAUCCUACGGGAGGCAGCAGUGGGGAAUAUUGCACAAUGGGCGGAAGCCUGAUGCAGCAACGCCGCGUGAGGGAUGACGGCCUUCGGGUUGUAAACCUCGUUUAGCAGGGAAGAAGCGAAAGUGACGGUACCUGCAGAAAAAGCACCGGCUAACUACGUGCCAGCAGCCGCCGUAA